GGUGUGGGGGGCAUGAACAGCUAAAGCCACCAAAUCUUCCCUUCAAAGAAAAGAAUAAACAAAACUAGAAAAGAAGAGGAGCCCUACUUCAUCAUAUUCCAACCAAACCACAGGCAAAAGAAAAAGAAAACCUGAUAAAAUUUAACAUGGCAAGUCAAGAAUAAUAUUAAAGAAAAAAGGCCAUUGAAAAUCAUAAAUUGUAGCGGGUAUUUGAUUGAGGGAAAUGUAUCUGUUAGAGGGAGUUUUAAGAAAGAAAGACCUGCAGUUUUUUUAGCAUGGGAUUUCAUGGUAGGCUCAGCAGCAAAGAAACGGGGGCAAAUAGCAGGUUGUGUAGUUUCUGUUCAGAAAAUGGGUGUUACUGUGACAUUGCAGAGGCCCCAUUUGAGGAGAGGAACAGACUGAUUGCAAUUAAAGAUCAAGUGAAGGAAGUUGAGAACAAAUUCAUGUUUUUACAGGUUUUUACACUUGUGGGAAUAUGCAUACGCAGAGAAUGAGUUCUUGGCAGCAGAUGGAUAGGCAGGCAGCAUUCAACAGUUUGGAAGAAAGCAGGCUAAAUCUAGUAGCAAAGGUGACAGAAUAUAAAGGAAGAAGGGAACUUGAUGUGGUGACAGAACUGAAUGCAUGUUUUGGCAGUGAAAAUAAUGUCCCUUUUAAUUGGGAUUUUGGAGGGAGACUGAUUAAAAAGAAUGAACCUGCAGGUGGUUUUCACAGCAGAAGUUUUCUCACUAACUGCAUAAGAAAGUUGCUCGUCUCAUGGAAGUGGCAAAAGGUUUAUGGUAUUGCAGUGAAACUAGCAAUGGUUUCUGUGAGCAUUUCUUCUGUAAUUGCUGCUUACAGUACCAGGCAAUUAUUAUGCACCAGCUCAAGAAAGAUGAUUCCAUUUUUGAGUUUCAAAGAUGCAGGAAAAAGUAGUAGUCUAUUAACCUUCUCAAAGAACCCUCUUGAUGUCUUCUUUGGUAGGGGAUGAUUCUUAAUUCUUUUCAUUUUUUAUGUCACUCUGUCUCGUAGUUUGUCAAGAAAACUUUAGAGAUUUAUUUUUUGAUUAAAUUUACGUAACAGUAAAGUUUGUGAGAGUUAAAUUCAUGACAAGACAUUAAGUAAAGACUGAGUAUCACUAGACCAAAUGAUCAUUAAUGUGAAAUGUUAUGAGAUCGGAUCUCUUUCUUUUUCAUGUAAGCAUGUGCUGUCCACUUGUAA